ensembl:lncRNA
GGAGGAAGGGGCGAGAGGGGAAAGGGGAGGGAGGGGUAGGCCCUCUGGGGAGCUGUGCCUCUGCCGGCGUCCUUGUGCUGUUCCUAGGUCUCUGAAUCUGAGUACAGUGUCUGGUCACUCAACUCCUUUCUAGCGGAGACUGAACAUGUCUCUGUAGACGUGGCAGUGGGCUCCUUUGGAUUCCCUGAAGCUGUGGUGGCAAGGGCAGGUUCUGGCCCUACCUGCUUUGGCUCUUUGGUCUUCCCUGUCUCCAGGCAGCCGGGGAAGCCCAGAGCCCACCCAGGAGGAGAAGCAAUGAUCCCUUUUAACAUUCUGUGAUUCUUGUGGGGAGAAACACACUCUUUUUUAAUUGAAGUAUGGUUGAUUGAUAAUAUUAUAUUAGUUUCAGGUAUACAGGAAAGUGAUUCUGUUUUAAGUUUAAGGUAUAGCAAACAUAACAGAAGAGAAGUCAUGACUAUAUAACUUGAAUUAUCAUGAAGAGAACACAAACCAAGAGUGAUUCCGUUUUGUUUUGUUUCAGAUUAUGAGAUAUAAUUUAUGAGAAUGGGAUUAACAGGUAGAAGCUACUUAAGAUAGAUAAGCAACAAAGAUUUACUGUAUAACACAGGGAACUAUAUUCAAACCUUAUAAUAAUAUAUAAUGGAGAAUAAUCUGAGAUUGAUUGUUAUAUAUUUAUCUUGUAUACAGCCAAGUUCUCUUAUUAAUUCUGGGUGGGGUUGUUUCUAUUUGUUUUUGUUUUUAACUGGAUCCUCUUAGGGCUUUAUAGACAUUCGAUAUCAUCUGCAAAUAAAGGGAAUCCUGUCUCUUUUUCCACUGGCAUACUUUAAUUUGACUUUUUAUUAAAGCAAUUUCAAAUUUGUAAAAAGUUACUAAAAUAAAAAUAGUACAAGGAGCAUCCAUAUACCUGCUUGUUCUAACAUUUGCUCUGAGUGUGUAUCCAUGUGUGUGUGAGUGCUUGUUUGUUUUUUUAGCACUUUUGAGGGUAAGUUAUGUCCAAAACUCUAGUGUGUACUUCUGAAGAAUAAGGAUAUUCUCUUACUUGCCACAGUAGUUAUCAACAUGAAAUUGACAGAUACUUUUAUCUAAUCUACAUUCUGUAUUCCAGUUUAUAAGAUGAACUAAUAAGGUCUCCUACAGCAUUUUCCCCUCUAAUAUAGGGUUUUGUCUAGGGCCAGGUAUCAUAUUUAAUCAUCAUGUCUGUUUAGCCUCCUAUAAUUUGGAAUCAGGGAGAACCCAGGAAGGAGAGCCCCAGCCUUCAGGCAGAGAAGCCAGACUCAAUCCCAGUGUCUGUGACAGAGAAACAGGGAGACAAAGGAGCCUUGAAAAGGCACCAGGAGGAGCAAGGCGCACUCCUGACUACCUCAGAAAGGCUGAGCUCUCUUCCCCGCUCCAGUUCUUUACCCUCUGCCAGGGGGUCCCCAUACCUGCCCCCUAUCUUGUAACUGACUUUUUACCCUUGAAAUUCCUGGGAGUGAUGAGUGGGGUUUGCUGGCCUUUCUCUAGAAGUUGGAUGCCAUGAUCUUAGUUUUUUGAAUGUUGAGUUUUAAAACAGUAUUUUCACUCUCCUCUUUCACCUUCAUCAAGAAGCUCUUCAGUUCCUCUUCACUUUCCAGUAGUCAUAUAUGGAUGUGAAAGUUGGACCAUAAAGAAGUCUGAGUGCUGAAGAAUUGAUGCUUUUGAACUGUUGGAUAAGACUCUUGAGAAUCCCUUGGAUGCAAGGAGAUCAAACCAGUCAAUCCUAAAGGAAAGCAACCCGGCAUAUUCAUUGGGAGGACUGAUGCUGAAGGUGAAGCUCCAAUACUUUGGCUACCUGAUGUGAAGGACUGACUCACUGGAAAAGACCCUGAUGCUGGGAAAGAUUGAAGGAAGGAGGAGAAGAGGACAGAGGACAAGAUGGCUGGAUGGCAUAAAGACUCAAUGGACGUGAGUUUGAGCAAACUCUGGGAGAUGGUGAAGGACAGGGAAGCCCGGUGUGCUGCAGUGCAUGAGUUGGAUAUGACUGAGUGACUGAACCACAGCUCUAGAAGUGCGAUCCCAGAGAGCUCCCUGACCCCUUCCACCAUACGAGGACACAGAAAUUGGCUGUCUCCGACCUGGAAGAGGUCCUCGCCAGAAAACCACCAUAUUUGCACCCUGAUCUUGGACUUCCGACCUCUAGAACUGUGAGAAAUAAAUGUUUGUGGUUUAC